UACGGGGGGUGCAAGCGUUGUCCGGAAUCACUGGGCGUAAAGGGCGCGUAGGCGGCCCGAUAAGUAGGGGGUGAAAUCUUGCGGCUCAACCGCAAGGCUGCCUCCUAAACUGUCAGGCUCGAGCACGGCAGAGGCUGGUGGAAUUCCCGGUGUAGCGGUGGAAUGCGUAGAGAUCGGGAAGAACAUCGGUGGCGAAGGCGGCCAGCUGGGCCGUUGCUGACGCUGAGGCGCGACAGCGUGGGGGGCAAACAGG
rnacentral:rRNA from 1 species